rnacentral:rRNA from 1 species
AACUCAGCAAAAUAGUCCCGUAACUUCUGGAGAAGGGAUGGCCUCCUCUCAAAGGGGGCCGCAGUGAUGAGUCCCGAGUGACUGUUUUAUCAAAAACAUAGGUCUCUACAAAGUCACAAGACGUAAAGUUAAUCAAUCCAAGCAAUCGAGAUUCUUAUAUAAAUAUUAACGACCGAUGGGAAUG